rnacentral:rRNA from 1 species
GAUGAACGCUGGCGGCGUGCCUAACACAUGCAAGUCGAACGAAGCACCUUACCUGAUUCUUCGGAUGAAAGUUUGGUGACUGAGUGGCGGACGGGUGAGUAACGCGUGGGUAACCUGCCCUGUACAGGGGGAUAACAGCUGGAAACGGCUGCUAAUACCGCAUACGCGCACGAGGAGACAUCUCCUUGUGUGAAAAACUCCGGUGGUACAGGAUGGGCCCGCGUCUGAUUAGCUGGUUGGCAGGGUAACGGCCUACCAAGGCAACGAUCAGUAGCCGGUCUGAGAGGAUGAGCGGCGACAUUGGAACUGGGACACGGUCCAAACUCCUACGGGAGGCGGCAGUGGGGAAUAUUGCACAAUGGGGGAAACCCUGAUGCAGCAACGCCGCGUGAGUGAAGAAGUAUUGCGGUAUGUAAAGCUCUAUCAGCAGGGAAGAUAAUGACGGUACCUGACUAAGAAGCUCCGGCUAAAUACGUG